UGCAGCCUCUGCUCCCUCAGUAUCUGGCGAACUAUAUGGUCUCCCUCCUCUCCAACCCAUCAGGAGGAAGAAAUGGGCAAGCGAGACCAGCAGGGGAAAGAAUAGGGUGCAGCCUCACACGCUGGCUUGUUGCUUGCACCUGAAAAAGACAGAGACCAGCCGCCGAUGGACACCAUCUGGUGUUGGUUACAACAGGCUCCGAGGUAGGAUGUGAUUCUUAUCUUUAAAGAGUGGCAUGCUCGAGUUGUGAAUCUGCUGCUAUACAUUGGCUGAGGAUUAAUUACAAGGAGGUGUGUUAUGCUGGAGUAGGAGGCGGGAAGGAUCUAAUACUAUGGUGAACAUUUUCUUCAAUCAUACUAAAAUACAUUAAAAAAAUUAGCUGCAAUUGUUGUCCCUAUUUACACGAGAAAUUGCUAUCUUUUACACAGUACGCGCUAGAGCAAGUAGUAAAUUACUUGAGUAAUCCUAUACUUAUUCAGUUUACCAUCCCGACAUAGGUAUGGGAUGAGUGUGGACAUCGAGUACUUUAGUGAUAGCAAUCCAGUCUUUUACAGUAGCCCCCUAUAGGAUAUUUAAUUUUGAGUACUUCACUGUUUUAUUGUGGCAACUCGCAUAAUCGACUCACAUCAUCGGCUGAUGCAUAUUCUACGACAUGAAAAAUACCUCAAGGAAUUGUUGUUUGAAAUUGCAGUUGCGUCCAAGGUGGGCUGAGGUGAUAACUGAAUAAUCUUCUGCUGCAAAGCAGAUUCCGUAUUCACUUAUAUUUUGCAUGGGCCGAAGGAUACUUCUUUUUAUGCUGCAAUACUGCUUACAAAUGUAUAUUCGGUGAAAGGAAGCGGAAAAUUUAAAUGUUGCAAUAUAACACUGAGCAAUUAAUUUUGUUUCUUCUGCUUUGUUGAUCUAUAGUGCUUUAGCGUUACUAAUGACCUCGAGUUAUCCUAUGCAUGCAGUAUUUUUGUACUAGGUUGAACCAGAUGGUCUCUUCCAAUGGAAAUCGCAGGGUGGCCGUUCUUACGAUAAAGAAAAUGAGUGUGUCACAAAAUGACAUUCACUGAUGCAAAUGUAUUUUCCCGAGCAUAGGAUCAACUAGUGCGGCUUCUUGCUUGAUUCAACUGGAUCUAAUGGCGGCGCAGCAGGUGGAGUCGGGAGGCAUGACAGAGGACAUGUGGAUGUUAUCGUGGCAUUGACACAUUUCGCUCCACUGACACUUCAUACCAACGUGAAUGAAUGCUAUCGUGGCCUUAGGCCUGCCAAAUUCUUGCUUUACUUUUUUGUUUUGUAUAUGUAUAUUUCAGUUCCGACGUGCUUUUUCUCAUGUCGAGUUGAAACCACAUUUGGAUGGUCCAGUAGAAAAUAAUCGUAUGUUUCACUCUGAAAUCAUAUUGCAUAUAGAGUGAUGUUCUGUUCUUGAACAAAUUAUUACACACAUAUACAUGAAAAAGUCUCACACUAAGGCUCAUGCAUUCUACUUUUUCCUCCUUUAUCCUCCUUUAUGGCAAGAUGUUGUUAGAGAUGUUUGUUGUUACUCAUUCGGUUGUGGUAUAGAAUGAUGGCUUUUAUAGUCUGUUUACAGUGUCAUCUAUUCAGAAUCAUGCAAAUUUUGGCCUCUACAACAGACUUUGUUUGCUUGCUUCUCUAUUUUCUGUUUCUUUCUGUUUGGAUUAGCAAGUUUCGCUGCACAUCUGUAUAUGCCAUCGGAAUACAUUAUUACAAAAAUGACAGUCUGAAGCUAAAAGAAAAUACAUGACAAAAGAAAAGUAAAUAACUUGAGUAGUAAGGGCUUGCAUUAUAAAUAUGUUUACUUACCAUUUCAGUUAUUUUAUGCACUCAGGUGAAGAUGCUGCAGACUAUGAAGUUUUCAGAGCUCAAACAUAAAACAGUGCAUAUUUUUGCAAAAAACAAUUGCUUUGUUUUUCCCCAACCAUCUUGAUACAAAUUUGGGAUCACCUAAAACUUACAAAAGGCAUGCUUCCUGAUUUGUUCCAAUGAUACAAAAUCAUAAAUUGUUUUUAUCAUUGUUGAAUGUAGGCAGCUAUACUGUUGCAACAUUCAAGAGGAAAGUAUGCACUCAUUUUCUGUUCUACAAGACAAGGUGCACAAGAAGCAGCACAGUACCUCUCAAGAACUGCAGUCUCUUGGCUAUUGAACAAAUUCAUUCAUGAAACCGAUGCAGCAGUACGAAAAUCUAUGAGAAGCUACCUUAACCUGUAGUUGUUGUUCAUUGCUUCAUACCAUCUAUGUAAUGUACCUCUUCCUAUCUACUUUCUUUGCAUAUCACAUCUAUGUACCAGCAGUAAAUACUUACGUCUCUGAAUAUUCUCACAAUACUUGGCUCCCUCUCGCCCUUUGCGCCAUUGGCGCAACGGGUCAUCUAGUAUGGUGAAAAAGAGAGUCAGGGAUCCUUUUAUUAGAAAAGAUAAUAUAUUCCCAUGGGGGCAUAACUAUCCAGUCGACUUGUGAAGUAAUGGCUAAUGUCAUACUUGAAUAACUCGGCUGUUUUCAUGACCUUAAUAGUGCAAAACUAUGCAUAUAAAGUUGUCAUGCUUUUAUAAGUAGGCAGUACACAGAGUUGCUGUUAUGACCUUGACAUAAUGUAUGGUUGACAUAAAUGCUAUUGGCAUUAUUUAGUUGUUAUGUCGUUCCUAAUAACUUAAAAUUGUUGUCAAGAUGAACUAAACCAAAUCAUGUAGAGUAAUAGAUGGUGUAUGUGCAUCAAUCAAUGUUGGGACAAGGAAUCUCUUCACUUCAAUACAUAGUUACCACAUUGGACUACAUGCGUUUAUCUUGAGUAUAGCUAUAUACAAAACAUCUUUACUGAGCUGACAUGUGAAGGUAACUUGACCCACCUGUUUAUUUUAUGAAAUUUAAAGUCAAAAUAAGGGAUGUAUUCACCAGCUAGUCAAUCUCUGUUGAUGGAGAAUAGUACAAAAAACUCUAUGCAGAAGAAUGAAUGAUUUAUAUAGUACAAAAUUAAUAAUUGUAUAAACACAAAUAAAUGCUUACCCUUCUGGCUAGGUCAAGAUCAUGCACACUCAAGUUUUUUCUUGCCUAUGCCAAUAGAUUAAUUUAUCUUAUUUUAAUGAGAAGAAACAAAUGCCUUUGCUGACCUAUCAACUCCUUAUGGAGAUGGUGGGUCGGUUGGGGUGAUCUCAGGCGAGGAUCAACGUUAGUAUUAACACAUGGCUAUUGAAUUAUAUGUAUUUAUUAUUAUUUAUAUUUUUGAGAAUGUGAUGAUCAUCUAUGUUUGAUUUUUUGUUUUGUAGUGUAGUUUCUAAUACUGUAUUAUAAUUGAAGAUUGUUUAAAUUUUGUAGGAAGCAAACAAAAGGACUUCACUCCCAUGGAACCAUGAAGCCAUUGAUCUACGUCAACUAGAUGUUUUAGAUUUCAUUUUGUACAACUGAUGUCUCAUGCAUGCAUCUUUUACAUGUACUUUUGUGAACCUGAUGUAUUCUCAUUUUGUACAACUUAUGUCUCAUACAUGCAUCUUUUACCUAUCCUUCUGUGAACACGAUGUACGGUAUCUGAGUAGUUAUGUUUAUAACAGACUUAAGUGUGUGUAUGUGAAAAAUAGUUAAUGGAAUAAAAAAUGUUUGGUGGACC
rnacentral:lncRNA from 1 species